rnacentral:rRNA from 1 species
CGUAGUUGGAUUUCUGGUCUAAUGCGCCUGGCCCGCGGCAGUAAUGCCUGUGAGUGCCGGUGCGCGUUAACCAUCCUUCUAGAAAACGUUUCUACCAUUCACUUGGCUGGACUCGCGAUCUAGAUCUUUUACUUUAGAAAAAAUUAGAGUGUUCAAAGCAGGCUUUUGCUGUGAAUACAUUAGCAUGGAAUAAUAAUCUAGGACUUCGGUUUUAUUUUGUUGGUUUCUAAAAUUGAAGUAAUGA